CUUCGGGAAACCGGAGCUAAUACCGGAUAAUAUAUUGAACCGCAUGGUUCAAUAGUGAAGGACGGUUUUGCUGUCACUUAUAGAUGGAUCCGCGCCGCAUUAGCUAGUUGGUAAGGUAACGGCUUACCAAGGCAACGAUGCGUAGCCGACCUGAGAGGGUGAUCGGCCACACUGGAACUGAGACACGGUCCAG
rnacentral:rRNA from 1 species